rnacentral:tRNA from 1 species
GAAGGUACAGCUCAGUGGUAGAGUGCAUGCUUAGAAUGCACAAGGUCCUCGGUUCAAUCCCCAGUACCUACU